GAUGAACGCUGGCGGCGUGCCUAAUACAUGCAAGUCGAACGAGGUGCUUUUGUAGCAAUACGAGAGUAUCCUAGUGGCGAACGGGUGAGUAACGCGUUGGUGACCUACCCCAAAGUGUGGGAUAACAGUCCGAAAGGAUUGCUAAUACCGCAUGUGGUCUUCGGAUUUAGAAACUGAUGACUAAAGGAGCAAUUCGCUUUGGGAGGGACCUGCGUCCCAUCAGCUAGUUGGUGAGGUAAUGGCUCACCAAGGCUACGACGGGUAGGGGACCUGAGAGGGUGACCCCCCACAAUGGAACUGAAACACGGUCCAUACACCUACGGGUGGCAGCAGUAGGGAAUAUUGCACAAUGGGCGAAAGCCUGAUGCAGCAACGCCGCGUGUGCGAUGAAGGCCUUCGGGUCGUAAAGCACUUUUCUGGGAGAUGAGCAAGGACAGUAUCUCAGGAAUAAGUCUCGGCUAACUAACGUGCCAGCAGCCGCGGUAAU
rnacentral:rRNA from 1 species